rnacentral:rRNA from 1 species
GACGAACGCUGGCGGCGUGCUUAAUACAUGCAAGUCGAGCGAGGUUACUGUUUUGGAUCCCUUCGGGGUGAAGAAGCUUUAACCUAGCGGCGAACGGGUGAGUAACGCGUGGGUAACCUACCCCAAAGUCCGGGAUAACAGCGGGAAACCGCUGCUAAUACCGGAUGCCUUUACCUUGGGGCAUCUUGAGGUAAAGAAAGGCAACGCUUUGGGAUGGGCCCGCGUCCCAUUAGCUAGUUGGUGAGGUAACGGCUCACCAAGGCGACGAUGGGUAGCCGGCCUGAGAGGGUGGACGGCCACACUGGGACUGAGACACGGCCCAGACUCCUACGGGAGGCAGCAGUAGGGAAUAUUGCGCAAUGGACGGAAGUCUGACGCAGCGACGCCGCGUGAGCGAUGAAGGUCUUCGGAUCGUAAAGCUCUGUCCUUGGGGAAGAAGGCGAAAGCUUGACGGUACCCAAGAAGAAAGCCCCGGCUAACUACGUGCCAGCAGCCGCGGUAAUACGUAGGGGGCGAGCGUUGUCCGGAAUUACUGGGCGUAAAGGGUGCGUAGGCGGCCCUUUAAGUCGGAUGUGAAAGCCCGCGGCUUAACCGCGGAAUGGCAUUCGAAACUGGAGGGCUUGAGUGUCGGAGAGGGUAGUGGAAUUCCCAGUGUAGCGGUGAAAUGCGUAGAUAUUGGGAGGAACACCAGUGGCGAAGGCGACUACCUGGACGAUAACUGACGCUGAGGCACGAAAGCUAGGGGAGCAAACAGG